rnacentral:rRNA from 1 species
GACGUAGGGCGCGAGCGUUGUCCGGAUUUAUUGGGCGUAAAGAGCUCGUAGGCGGCUUGUCGCGUCGACUGUGAAAUCCCGCGGCUCAACCGCGGGUCUGCAGUCGAUACGGGCAGGCGUAGAGUUCGGUAGGGGAGACUGGAAUUCCUGGUGUAGCGGUGAAAUGCGCAGAUAUCAGGAGGAACACCAGUGGCGAAGGCGGCUUUCUGGGCCGGACCUGACGCUGAGACGCGAAGGCGUGGGGAGCGAACGGG